CUGUACAUGGUCAUGCAUGCACACACACGCGCACACACGCAACCAAACUGACGCUCAUCAGGUGGCAUCUGGCUUGUCCUGUUCUCCCUUCGUCUUUCUUCGGACUGACCCUCAGCCCUUCCCAUCUCUCUUGCCGUCAUUCUGCCUCUGUUUAGUGUGGAGGGGUUUCGAGUUCUUUCUCUUACGUUGCCGUUGUGGUGGUGUGUCUCGCUGGUGCACGCCCACACCCACCCACCACGGUCACAGCGCACGCUCGAACAUUGGCCUCUGCGCCCUUUUGGGGAGAGCAAAACACACCUACGCAAACCACACCCGUAACCACACACACGCACACACGUAUAUAUACAUAUAUAUAGCAACGUAGGCAGAAGGAAGUGCGGUCGAAAAACUCCUUUCUUUGUGUGUGUGUGUGUGUGUGUGUGUCUUUUAUUAUUUUUUUCGAGGGGUGGUUGUUGUUUCUUCUUUGGUUUUCGUUUUGCUGAAGGUCGUAGAGUCACGAAUCGUGCGAGUCGCGUAACGUUGUGAGCACCUGUAGCACAUCGCGCGCGUACAGCCUGUUUCCUGUUGACUACGCCCUCCCUCCCACUCUACCUCUUUGUGUUUAGUUCUUGGGUUUUCGUUUUUUAGAGGGGAGGUCUCCAUCGCGUUUUUCUUUGUUCGCUCAUUGAUUCCUUGCCGCCGCCUCCCCCCCCCCUCAGUCCAUCCCUCCUCCUCGUUGUUGUCUGCCAGUUUGGUCGCAUUCAAGGGUUAAGGGAUCGUCUCACGCACUUUUUCUUGUUCUUCGUAGGUCCUCACCUCCCCUCUCGCUCGCUUGCACAGAUACGCACGCGCCCUUUUCCCCCUGCGACACCAUAAGUUUUGCCCUCCUCCUCCGUCGUCAUAUAUGGACCCUGGAGGGAAGGCUCUACUCUAGCUUUCCUCUCUCCUGUGUGUGUUCGUGUGUGUGUGUGUGUGUUUCGGCGUCCGAGUGAACACGUCGAGGCGUCGGCGAGUCGAGCCUGAGCUGCACAGAGCACCGGUAGAGCAGUCAGCAGCGGUAAACCCGCGGUCGCGCCCUCCCACCUUCCUCUCUGCGCCACAAGAGCACUGGUGAAUCACACCAGCACACACACCCACAGGCAUAUGCAUAUGUAUAGACACGGAUAUCUUAUACACACAUCGACUCCAUAGUCUCCCAAAAAGAUGGUGCGCGCGGUGCUGCAGGCGAUGUUGAACAUCGGUGGUCUGCCGAGCCAAUUCGUCGGCGAUAUCGCAGAGACCUUCUUUGAUGAAUACUUCGACAUCCUCGUCUACAGUGAAGUGCUGUACGUGCUCAUAGUCUUCCUCGGCCCCAGGGCGAUGGAGAGUCGCGAGCCGUAUCGGCUGAAGUACCUCAUUGCCGCGUGGAACCUAGCGCUCUCCUUUCUUUCCUUGUGUGGCACUAUCGGCGUUAGCAUCAUGCUCAUGCACUCGCUAGAGGAACGUGGCAUGUACGAGACGACCUGCUACCUCGACAAGAACCUCUACGACGGCGAGCUCACCUUCUGGCUCUUCGCGUUUCUGCUCAGCAAGAUCCCAGAGAUGCUUGACACGGUCUUCCUCGUUCUCACGAAGAAGCCUAUCAUCUUCUUGCACUGGUACCACCACCUCACGGUGACGGUCUUCUGCUGGUACGCUGGCUACACGCUUAUUGCCAGCGGCGUAUGGUUCGCCAGCAUGAACUACGCCGUGCACACUGUCAUGUACUUCUACUACUUCCUGUGCUCUCUGGGCAUGCGCAAGUUCAUUCGGCCGAUCGCGCCGUUCAUUACGGGGGCGCAGCUGCUGCAGAUGGUCGUGGGCACGAUCAUUGUUCUCUACACCUUCUACUACAGCUACAUCAGCGAGCGCGGCUGCGGCGUUGACCACCGCACGAUCCGCAUGGGGCUGUGCAUGUACGGCAGCUACUUUGUGCUCUUCGCGACGCUUUUUGUUCACCUUUACAUGAAGAAGGGCGCGGCGACAAAGUCCCGGAAGACGGAGACGGCGGCAGCGGCAGCGGCAGCUCAUCAAAACGGGAAGCCCGUCGAUGGUGCCAAGAACGGUUGCAGCGCUGCGGCCAUGAAAAAGCAGUGAGCGAGGGGUAACCGACAACCACGGAAAGGCAGCUGGAAAAAAAUGGCCGCUGCCUUCUCCUCUCCCACCCACUCCUGGUUCGCGCGCUUUCUCCUCGUGUUUGCUGCCGUCGUGGGCAAGGGGCAUCACGGGGCAAAGGGAAUCUGGAAGACGGGAAACAGAGGAAAGGGGGCAAGAGGCUCGCACUCACAUGCUCAAACUCAUCAGCAGGCGUAUACACACGCAGAGACAGACAGACAAAGUGAGUCGCGCCCAUGCGCAGCACGGGAAGGGCGAGGAGCGGCCGUCUUCUUUUUUUUUUUCACCUUUCCUCCCCUCUCUUUGGCGCUGGUGAUCGAAGUGGCCCUCACGACAGUGUGCGCCUGCGCUGUAAUGUGUUGUCUUGAUCUUCUUCUUGUUUGCUUCUUUUCCGAUGGAAAGCUUCACAGCGGAGGAGGUAAGUGCGCUGGCGAGAAGCAGUAACGCGCCACACGCAGUGCUUCGCGUCCGCUUGUGUGUCUGUGAAUGUGUACAUGCGUACUAGGGGUGGUGAUAAGUGCGCCAAAGACAGGUGAGUAGUGAUAUACCUCGCCUCUCGUCUUCUCCUUCGCGGCUAAUAAGGGAAAUCAGCUCCACACUCACGGGAAGAGGAAGACAAUUUCGGAUAGUCGUAAAGAUACACCUUCAGCAUUAGCCCAGACACAGACACACGCCGCAUCGUGUGCACCACGCUGGGGCUCCUCACCCACGCUCGGCGCGAUCCUGGCAGAGUUGUAAUCCAAAAAAAAAACGAAAAAAAAAAUGAAAACGAAAUACUCGCGCCCACCGGUGCAUGAACUCGUUGUCCUACAUAAAAUACGCCUCCGCUCUGUCGGUCGCUGAGCUUUAUGAGGUCUGCAUGCCCUUUCGAUCAGGACGGCAUCCCAGCAGUCUCUUCGGCGGAUCCCACAUUGGGAAGACUCCGAUCAGCCGAGUUGCUGCACCCCCAACGCCACCAUCAAACACAUCUCUCGCGAACUGACGUAGAUCUUCCCGGCGCGUGCAUGACGCAGCUCGAAAAGGACAACACAGUAUGCGCCUGCCAGAGCCGCUUUCAUGGCUUUUCGGCCUGAGGAGGAUGAAAGGAGGAAGGGAGGCAGCUCCUCCUCUGGGAGCGGGAUGAAGGCGCCUAGGGAGUCCCCGUCUCACAUCGCCUACGACGAACUCCGCACCUCGGAGCUCCAGCACCUUGAAGAGAACGUGAGGAAGCUCAUCAGCGUCUCUUCGGCGGCGUGCAGAGAAGCUGGCCAGCGAGGUUGUGCCCGUUCAGGAAUUCCGCUCUGUCUUGGAAGAGGUGUGAGUUUGAGAUGGCCGACUCGCGUGUACCCCCACAGCAGCCCCAGUGAUUGCCUUCCCGCCUCGAAUACGCGCCAUCUUGCUUCCGUGCAGGUUACCCGACUCUCACAGCCUGAAGAGGAGGAGGGGCCAUCCUGCACGUCCUACAAGCCGUGCCCGAAACCAGCUUAUGGACGCCUACCAGUGGCCAAAGAAGAGCGGAGGGAGCCCCGUUGCACGCGGCACAGGGGAAGGCGAUGCACCUUGUCGAUCUGUGUGGCGAGAUGAGAAGCGAGAACCAGCAACGGAUGCGGUGCAUGGAAAGUACCCCCGACCAGUGCCCCCGCGCGUUCCCAGAAAGCGUCACUCCUCCGCCGCCGGUGACAGACGCGGAUGUCGAGGCCCCUCCCCUCAGUGGCAGCAAUCGUUAUGGUGUGCCCAGCGCAGCAGCGACCCCUCUCCUUGAAUGGGCCCCCACCGUCGUGGAAGAGAAGAAAGGACGUAUCGGACGGCGGCGCCCUCAUUCUCUGGCCGCGACAAGUCAACAGCUGGCCAGAUGAGCAGCGUUACAACGCGGAGGUGGGUCUGGAUGUGCAGCCACGGGAGAACUCGUGCUCCACGACUGUGUGCGUGUGGGAGGGGGGGGUGACAGAUCUGGAAAGGUCAUCUUUUUCAAGUGCUUCUUUCCGUGCAUCUGCGGCCGCUCUUGAGCCUGUGAACCAGGGACCGCUCCGCGCAUCAGCGAAGAGCGCACCCGAAUGAGCUUGGCUGUUGGCCCAGAGGAUGACGUGGGUGGCAACAGCAACAUCGGCCUGCCAUCCUAUGUGUGCCGCGCGACCCGCCUCUGACAUUCACGUGAAGGUCUGCAUCGACAGCAUCCAACGAACGGGUGGUCGACAGGCGGUGGAGACAGCUCUGCAGGCGCCCCGAAUCGCCGCGGAAAAGCUUAGCGCCACCUCGAAUGACGACGAGACCGGCACCUGCAACAUGUCUGCGUUGGCUGGCGUGGCGCUUGACCACAACUUGGGAACGGUCUGCGGUGGAAAACAGACGUGCACCCAGCUGAGCACCGAUUCGUUCAAGCAGCUGACAAGGAGGAAGAGCUGGGACGGCUCAUGGGUCGGCUUUGGUGUGCCGCCCGAGUCGUGCACAUGCCCCCUCACAAAUUUUGUCUUUUCCUCGCGGCGACGCGCCGGCUCUGCUCGAAAACGGUCACGAGGCCUCCACUGCGGUUCCUCGUGGGCGGAUCUGCCUCAGAGCGCCCAAAGCGAACUCCGCCUGUGGCGCCAACGGGCAGCACCGAAUAUAAACCACGUCGCGCCGCACGUCUUUCGGCGUCUGCCGCAGAGCACGGCCUUCACAUAGGCUGCAACCCCAGGAGGACGGUGAGGGGGAGGGUGCGCGGUACGCAUGCAUCCGCGUACGAAGCAGAUGGUCGUCACCCGUAGCCGUUAGCGGGCGCCAGGCGCAAAUAGCAUCUACUCGGCUGGACUCUGCGCGGCUCACUGUGUCUCUUCGGGGAUUCACGCCAUUUGCAAGACGACAAGCCGCAGGGCAUCUAUAAAUCGGCAGCGCGUCAGCCCUCUCCGCCCUGCGUAAAGGCUGCGCACGCGGUCAUGCGCUUUAUGCAUGGGGAUGACUGAUCUCCCAUACGCUUUCACGGCUCAAUACAGCAAGUCGGCCGCUAAUCCUACAGACAGCCCUACCCGCAACCCCGCAUACCACGCGUGACGGGGUCUACGUAGCAACAUGGCGAAGGACACGACGUGAUGGAUAAGGGCGGGAGCGAGGGGGUAGACCCUGCACUGCCCGUAGAGGUCAAAAAAACGGCAAGCGGCAAUUCCGAAAGAGCGGAAUGCAGAGGUCAGCCUUCCCCCCCCCUUGCACCCUCUACCUGGCAACGUCCGACACGUUUGGCGGCACCGUCUAUGGCAGGCUAGCAAAAAAAAAUGGGGAAUGGGGAACCCCCUCGCGUCUACAAAUCGCCUUCGCCACUCGUCCAGCGCUUUUUUCUAUGAUUGCAGGCAAAUCUUCGGUAGGAAAUAUGGACACUUUUUUAUGUAUGGGUGGGUGGGGGGCGGGAAUGGCGCGACGUCAGCACAUCUCCCUCUCUUACCUCCCUCAUCCCUCAUCCCUCCCCUGCGUGAAUUUAUCUCUCUGUUUUGCCCUCUUGUUCGCACGCAUCACGGUAAGUAAUUUCUCUUCGUCCGCUCGCAUCGCUCUCCUCACGUCUUCGAUGCAGUGAGCUGGUGAUUCUAUGCGUGCUCUUUGAGAAUCCGUUCUUCCUCAUCACUUUUUUUUUCUUUGGGGGGGGGUGAGGGGUUCUUGUUUGUUUUUCGAAUGCGUUUGUGUGCAUGCGCAUGUCCUCGGCCGCUGAUUCUUUCUCUAACUCUCUCCCACAUACCCACACCCACACACCUUCCUCAGUCUCCCUACCUCCCUCUUUUUUGUUUGUUUGUUUUUGCUUCUCAGUUUUAAUCAUAAGUGUUCGCAUUCUUAUCUUGUUGGUUGUUGUUUGCCUUGUGUCCAUGAAUGCGUGUGCUCGAGUGCUUCUCAGCGUAUGUGGGUGAUUGUAGAAGUGUGUGUGUGUGCGUGUGUGUGUGCUUUUAUGAGCGUGUGUGUAGGGGCGUCGUGGCAGUGGCCUCUCUCGCCGCGGCGCUGAGCCUGUGCAGUCGAACGAAAAGCAGUGGCACAGCUGGAAGAGUGGCUGUCCAUUGGUAGCCAGGCGUACACAGAGAGACCGACCAAACGUCGCAACCCACACGCCGCUCAUGCGCGGCCCCCUCUUUUUGUAGAGGCAACAACAACAGCAACAAAAAAGAUGGGAGGAAAAGAAGUCGCCUUCCGGCGCGUGCCCAAUGGGAUGCGCCCUCCAAACGUCCAGCAGUCCCCCCCCCAUCGCGCCCUUUAGAGUGCAUGUGUGUGUGUGUGUGUGUGUUUCCUCGUUCCGUGACUCAGGUCGGCGGUUCACGGUGCACUCAUACGCGCUGCCGUCUUGCUUUCGCCCUCCUCACCACACUCGUCCUCGCGUCUCUGUUUCGGAUUGUUCGUUGCACGUUGUCGGCAAGUCUCCCCACCCCCCUCCCCCUCCCGCUGUCUGUCUGCGUGUGUUCUUUCUCUUUGCUGCGUGAUCAGCCAUGUGUGUGCGUACGCGCAUGUAUGUACAUGUAUACGGGUGGCUUGUUUUACUUCGAUUGUUUUCCCACUUGUGUUUGUUUUCGCGCUCUUGUUCCUUUCUCUUUCUCUUUUCCCUCAUGCUCUCUGGGUGCGAGUGCGUGCGUGCGUGAGCGGCGACGAUGGACAUGUCGAAGGCAAUGCCGCAGCUUCAUCAUGAAAGCAUAUGUACCGAUUCGUGGGCGCGUGCCGGCGUGUGGGGUGUGGGUGUCCGUUGGGAGGCAUCUGUGGCUCCUACCCUCACAAGCGGAGAAGUGAGAAGGGGGAGCACAAAGGACUCCUGCGCGAAUGCCCGUUCCCAUACCUCCACUUGCGCAGCUGCCCGAGCCUGCACUCUUUCUCCCGCUCGAGCCUUAUUUUUCGUUGUUGUUGGUGGCUUUUGGUUAAUGAGAUGGCCGCCUGUGGCCUGUCCCUCAAGGCUAUGUCGAGUGCGGUGUGCGGGCUUAUGGAAUCUCUGUUUAGUCGGCAGCGCCGCCGCCAAGAACGACAGUCUUCCAUAGCGUUGCCGGUCGUGGCCGCCACUUUUUUCUUUGUUUUACCUGCUGCGGAACUGACGAGGGUGGAGAGAAAAUGGGUGACGCUUCGCGGUGGCGAGAUGAUGAAACGCAGAAGCAGAGGAGGAAAAAGCGAACACUCAAUCUAACAUCUGCGUGCGUUUAUGGAUGCGUGUGCGUGUGUGUGUGUGUGUGUGUGUAUGUGUGCGUGUGCAGUGCAGUGCAAAAAGUGGGCGGUAAACGACCCUCUAACAACGAAAAAAAAAAAUUAACCGAAAACAAAAACGAAACGAAAAAUGUGGCAUCAAAGUCGGCGCCGCUGCGAAAAGUGCUUGCGUGACUUCACUGCAAAC
rnacentral:misc_RNA from 1 species